rnacentral:other from 1 species
UUCCCUGCGUGGUACGUGUAGAAAGGAAUUUUAGAACCAACAAAUUCUAAAAGGGAGUCCGCCUUUAAAUGUGGCGUGUAGGCUUAGUUUAUUAACUUAAGAAACCCAGGAACAUUUAACAAGACACCCACCUGCUGGUGCAGGUCCUUAAAAUUUCAUUCGGCUUACGGCUAGUGUGGGGC